UCCCCAGUGGUCUAGUGGUUAGUACUCUAUGCUUCCACCGCAGACGGCAUGGGUUUAAUCCCUGACUGGGGAA
rnacentral:tRNA from 1 species